rnacentral:rRNA from 1 species
CACUAUGGUGCCUAUACAUGCAAGUCGAGCGGACAGAAGGGAGCUUGCUCCCGGAUGUUAGCGGCGGACGGGUGAGUAACACGUGGGUAACCUGCCUGUAAGACUGGGAUAACUCCGGGAAACCGGAGCUAAUACCGGAUAGUUCCUUGAACCGCAUGGUUCAAGGAUGAAAGACGGUUUCGGCUGUCACUUACAGAUGGACCCGCGGCGCAUUAGCUAGUUGGUGAGGUAACGGCUCACCAAGGCGACGAUGCGUAGCCGACCUGAGAGGGUGAUCGGCCACACUGGGACUGAGACACGGCCCAGACUCCUACGGGAGGCAGCAGUAGGGAAUCUUCCGCAAUGGACGAAAGUCUGACGGAGCAACGCCGCGUGAGUGAUGAAGGUUUUCGGAUCGUAAAGCUCUGUUGUUAGGGAAGAACAAGUGCAAGAGUAACUGCUUGCACCUUGACGGUACCUAACCAGAAAGCCACGGCUAACUACGUGCCAGCAGCCGCGGUAAUACGUAGGUGGCAAGCGUUGUCCGGAAUUAUUGGGCGUAAAGGGCUCGCAGGCGGUUUCUUAAGUCUGAUGUGAAAGCCCCCGGCUCAACCGGGGAGGGUCAUUGGAAACUGGGAAACUUGAGUGCAGAAGAGGAGAGUGGAAUUCCACGUGUAGCGGUGAAAUGCGUAGAGAUGUGGAGGAACACCAGUGGCGAAGGCGACUCUCUGGUCUGUAACUGACGCUGAGGAGCGAAAGCGUGGGGAGCGAACAGGAUUAGAUACCCUGGUAGUCCACGCCGUAAACGAUGAGUGCUAAGUGUUAGGGGGUUUCCGCCCCUUAGUGCUGCAGCUAACGCAUUAAGCACUCCGCCUGGGGGAGUACGGUCGCAAGACUGAACUCAAGGAAUUGACGGGGGCCCGCACAAGCGGUGGAGCAUGUGGUUAAUUCGAAGCAACGCGAAGACCUUACCAAGGUCUUGACAUCUUCUGACAACCCUAGAGAUAGGCUUAUCCCUUCGGGACAGAGUGACAGGUGGUGCCAUGGUUUGAUCGUCAGCUCGAGCUCUG